UACGUAGGGACCAAGCGUUGUCCGGAAUCAUUGGGCGUAAAGCGCGCGUAGGUGGCCAUUUAAGUCCGCUGUGAAAGUCAGAGGCUCAACCUUUGAAAGCCGGUGGAUACUGGAUGGCUAGAGUACGGAAGAGGCGAGUGGAAUUCCUGGUGUAGCGGUGGAAUGCGCAGAUAUCAGGAGGAACACCAAUAGCGAAGGCAGCUCGCUGGGACGUUACUGACACUAAGGCGCGAAAGCGUGGGGAGCGAACGAGG
rnacentral:rRNA from 1 species